rnacentral:rRNA from 1 species
GACGGGGCCGCACAAGCGGUGGAGUAUGUGGUUUAAUUCGAUGCAACGCGAAGAACCUUACCUGGUCUUGACAUCCCGGAGACCCUUAGGAAACUAGGGGUGCUUCCAUCUGGAAGAAUCUGGAGACAGGUGCUGCAUGGCUGUCGUCAGCUCGUGUCGUGAGAUGUUGGGUUAAGUCCCGCAACGAGCGCAACCCUUGCCUUUAGUUGCCAGCAGUUCGGCUGGGCACUCUAAAGGGACUGCCGGUGUUAAACCGGAGGAAGGUGGGGAUGACGUCAAGUCCUCAUGGCCUUUAUGACCAGGGCUACACACGUACUACAAUGGCCGAUACAAAGGGCAGCGACACUGCGAGGUGAAGCCAAUCCCGUAAAAUCGGUCUCAGUCCGGAUUGGAGUCUGCAACUCGACUCCAUGAAGUUGGAAUCGCUAGUAAUCGUGGAUCAGCAUGCCACGGUGAAUACGUUCCCGGGCCUU